rnacentral:rRNA from 1 species
AGCGCGGGUGCGAGUCGGAGGGUGCAAGCCCGUGGGCGAAGUGAAAGCGAGUUUAAAAACUAGCAGUUUGGGGCGGCAUAAGAUCGUUGAUCUUAAGACCGACCCAGAGCAGUUGCGCUGGGACCCGAAAGAUGGUGAACUAUGCCGGAGUAGGGCAAAGCCAGAGGAAACUCUGGUGGAGGCUCGUAGCGGUGCUGACGUGCAAAUCGCUCGUCGAACUUGGGUAUAGGGGCGAAAGACUAAUCGAACCAUCUAGUAGCUGGUUCCCUCCGAAGUUUCUCUCAGGAUAGCGGGCCGACAAGUUGUUUUGUGCGGUAAAGCGAAUGAUUAGCGCAUUCGGGGGCGUUUAGCCUUUGGGCGAUUCUCAAACUUUCAAUGCGCAAGGGUGCCGCUGCUUAAUUGAGCGGUACCGGUAAAAACGUCGGCCCUGUGGGCCACUUUUGGUAAGCAGAACUGGCGAUACGGGAUGAACCGUAAGCAAGGUUAAGGCGCCAAACUGCCCGCUUAUAGACCCCACAAAAGGUGUUGAUUCAUCGAGACAGCAGGACGGUGGCCAUGGAAGUCGGAAUCCGCCAAGGAGUGUGUAACAACUCACCUGCCGAAUGAAUUAGCCCUGAAAAUGGAUGGCGCUGAAGCGGGCGGCCGACACCUUGCCGUCUGAACAAGAAUUUCAGAUGAGUAGGAGGGCGUGGCGGCCGUGUCGAAGCGCGCGUGCAGACGCGUGUGGAACGGCCGCUAGUGCAGAUCUUGGUGGUAGUAGCAAGUAUUCAAGCGAGAUCCUUGAAGGGCGAAGUGGGGAAGGGUUUCACGCGAACAUUGAUUGGGCGUGAGUGAGUCGUUCCUAAGCCGAGUGGCAAUUGCUAAUUAACGGCGAAAGGGAAGCGGGUUGACAUUCCCGCACACGGAUGUGGAGGCGGCGACGCAUUAUUGGGGCGAACACGCUGGCGAUGGCGCUGGACAGAGUUGUCUUUUCUGUUUGACCGCUUGCGCACGCAGUGUGGAAUCCGCUUGUCGGGAGAAACACGCGUGUACGGGCAGAGCGCUGGGAUU